AUAAAAAGCAAGGAGGCAGAAGUAGAUUCAAUAACUUCCCCAAGACCACACAGCUGGCUGAAGGAACUGGACAAAGAAGGAAUUAAGGACUUAGGAGACCUCUUCCAAGAGGAUGUGGCCACUACAAGAACACACAGCCUGACGAGACGAAGAAACUGGUUGUUUACAGAUGGCAUCCACUCUGACUGCUCCAGGACAGUUUGUCCAGGUGAAAGUAUUGCAGCACUGCAGCAAAGGGUCCCAGGUCCCGGCCUGUCUC